GUAGGGAAUAUUGGGCAAUGGAGGCAACUCUGACCCAGCCAUGCCGCGUGCAGGAUGACGGCCCUCUGGGUUGUAAACUGCUUUUAUCCGGGAAGAAAAAAUACUACGUGUAGUAUACUGACGGUACCGUAAGAAUAAGGAUCGGCUAACUCCGUGCCAGCAGCCGCGGUAAUACGGAGGAUCCAAGCGGUGUCCGGAUUUAUUGGGUUUAAAGGGUGCGUAGACGGAUCUUGAAGUCAGUGGUGAAAGAGUGCAGCUUAACUGUAGAAUUGCCAUUGAAACUGAAGAUCUUGAAUGUGGUUAAAGUAGGCGGAAUGUAUCAUGUAGGGGUGAAAUGCUUAGAUAUGAUACAGAACACCGAUAGCGAAGGCAGCUUGCUGAACCAUUAUUGACGCUGAGGCACGAAGGCGUGGGGAGCGAACAGGAUUAGAUACCCGUGUAGUCC
rnacentral:rRNA from 1 species